UUUUCUACAUUUUCAAAUAUAUUGAUUUCAAUUUGCUAAACAUUCGUACGCCCCUUCACGCUUCGGCCACCAUUCAGGAGGACAUGCUUCCAUGCUGAUGAUGCUCAUU